GGCUUCGUGGCCGAGUGGUAAGGGCACUUGUCUCUCACCCAGGAGUCCCGGGUUCAAUCUAUGGUCGAGGAGCUA